UAGAGUUGUAAAACUCCCUAAACCCACUGUAAAUAUACCUAUGUUGUUCCUUCGGCAGGCGGCCCCCGGGGGGGGUUCGCCGUCGACCGGCGCCUGCCGAAGGACAAACAAAACUCUGCUGCUUUAGUGUUACUUCUGAGCAACUAAAACAAAUAAGUCA
rnacentral:misc_RNA from 1 species